rnacentral:rRNA from 1 species
AUUGAACGCUGGCGGCAUGCCUUACACAUGCAAGUCGAACGGCAGCACGGGUGCUUGCACCUGGUGGCGAGUGGCGAACGGGUGCGUAAUACAUCGGAACAUGUCCUGUAGUGGGGGAUAGGCCGGCGAAAGCCGGAUUAAUACUGCAUACGAAUACCGGAUGAAAGCGGGGGCCCUUCGGGCCUCGCGCUUUAGGGUUGGCCGAUGGCGGAUUAGCUAGUUGGUGGGGUAAAGGCCCACCAAGGCGACGACCAGGAGCCGGUCGGAGAGGACGACGAGGCACACUGGAAAUGAGACAAGGUACAGACUCAGACGGGAGGCAGCAGUGGGGAAUAGUGGGAGAUGGGCGAAAGACUGAUCCAGCAAUAACGCGUGGGUGAAGAAGGCCUUCGGGGUGUAAAGCCCUUUUGUUGGGAAAGAAAAGCAGCAGGUUAAUACCGCGAUGUUCUGACGGUACCUAAAGAAUAAGCAACGGCUAACUUCGUG